rnacentral:rRNA from 1 species
AGGGUUUGAUCCUGGCUCAGAGCGAACGCUGGCGGCGUGCUUAACACAUGCAAGUCGAACGAACACCUUCGGGUGUUAGUGGCGAAAGGGUGAGUAACGCGCAGAUAACCUGCCCCAAGGUCGGGGAUAACCGGAGGAAACUCUGGCUAAUACCCGAUGUGACUACGUAACCACAUGGUUAUAUAGUAAAAGUUCCGGCGCCUCGGGAGGGGUUUGCGUCCUAUCAGCUAGUUGGUGAGGUAACGGCUCACCAAGGCUUCGACGGGUAGCGGGUCUGAGAGGAUGGUCCGCCACACUGGGACUGAGAUACCGCCCAGACUCCUACGGGAGGCUGCAGUGAGGAAUAUUGGGCAAUGGGCGAAAGCCUGACCCAGCGACGCCGCGUGUGCGAAGAAGGCCUUCGGGUUGUAAAGCACUGUUGCAGGAGAAGGAAUAAAUGACGUUUACCUGUGAGGAAGCACUGGCUAAACACGUGCCAGCAGCCGCGGUAAUACGUGUAGUGCUAGCGUUGCUCGGUAUCACUGGGCUUAAAGGGUGUGUAGGCGGCUUGGUAAGUAAUGUGUGAAAUCCUACGGCUCACCCGUAGAACUGCAUCUUAUACUGCCUUGCUAGAGUGUCGGAGAGGAUAGCGGAAUUCUAGGUGUAGCGGUGAAAUGCUUAGAUAUCUAGGAGAACGCCGGUGACGAAGGUGGCUAUCUGGCCGAAUACUGACGCUGAGACACGAAAGCUAGGGGAUCGAACGGGAUUAGAUACCCCGGUAGUCCUAGCCCUAAACUAUGUGCACUUGGUGGUGGGGAUACGUCCUCGCUGCCGUAGCGAAAGCGUUAAGUGCACCGCCUGGGGAGUACGCUCGCAAGGGUAAAACUCAAAGGAAUUGACGGGAGCUUACACAAGUGGUGGAGCAUGUUGUUUAAUUCGAUACUACGCGAAAAACCUUACCUGGGUUUGACAUGCAAGUAGUAGGGAUCUGAAAGGUGAACGAUUCUGUUUACAGAAAGCUUGCACAGGUGCUGCAUGGCUGUCGUCAGCUCGUGUCGUGAGAUGUCGCGUUAAGUCGCUUAACGAGCGCAACCCCUGCUUUUAGUUGCCAGCGGUUCGGCCGGGAACUCUAGAAGGACUGCCGGUGUCAAACCGGAGGAAGGUGGGGACGACGUCAAGUCAUCAUGGCCCUUACGCCCAGGGCUACAAACGUGCUACAAUGGUAGGUACAGAGGGACGCAAGACCGCGAGGUGGAGCAAAUCCCACAAAGCCUGCCCCAGUUCGGAUUGAAGGCUGCAAUUCGCCUUCAUGAAGUUGGAAUCACUAGUAAUCGCGGAUCAGAACUGCCGCGGUGAAUCCGUUCCUAAGCUUUGUACACACCGCCCGUCAAGCCACGAAAGUCGGGAGCACCUGAAGUCGCUAUCCUAACCGCAAGGAGGGAGGCGCCCACGGUGAGACCGGUGAUUGGGACUAAGUCGUAACAAGGUA